ensembl:lncRNA
CCACCAACCUCUAAUCCUGGCCUUCUCCUAUCUUCCCAGAACUGCAGAGUCCUCCACCCAGCUGCACUAGGCAAGGACCACAGCAUCACUGGUGAUUCUCAGCUCCAGGGAGCCCUCACCGCUGCGUCUCCCACAUUCAUAUCGAAGCUAUCGAUUCCCUUUCCUAAACAAAUCUCCUCUUUGUACAGUUCUGUAGCAUCCAGGGCAUUUACUAAACACAUGAUUCUAAACCAGGAGGAUACACUCCUUACAUUCUUAUAAAGCUCUGAGGGCCCCCACCUUUAGCACAGACUCCUGCUCCAGACCCUGGUACAUCCCCUGUCCCCUCAAACAACCCUUCACUAAACAUCCUUUCUCCCUUUGGACGUGCAACGGGCAAUUGCUUCUCAUGCCUCAAACAUGUCACACUGAGCCAACACUCUGACUUGGCACCCUCAGUCCCUCGGGAAGGAUGUGACCUCUUUUAUAGCAAUUUCUGUUCACCCUUCAAGACACAGCAAUUGUCACUUUCUCUCAGAAGUCUUCCUGACUUCUCUGGGCAGUGAAAUAAACUGUAUUUGUCUGAUUCAUCUCUGUAUCAACCAAGCCUGACAUGUCAUGGCCUGCGUAUGUGAGCUUAGUCAGGUCCAAUUUUUUGCUACCCCAAAGACUGUAGCCCACUCAUCUGUCUAUGGAGUUUUGAGUCUUCACAGCUAUUUCCCUGGAUCUUGCCUUCCUUCUUGUAUUUCCAAUGCUUCUCAUUCUCCAUUCUUCCUGGAACAGUCUUCCUCUACUAGCCAUUACAUGUUGGUGUUCCUCAAGCUUGGUCAUAUGUCAUUUAAAAAUAUCAUGAUCAUAAUUGUGUCUUGGCCAUCAGUCUACUCCGCAGGCAGCAUUAGCCACUUGUGAGCUGAUGCCUCUCAAAGCUCCCUCUCUAGUCCUGCCUGCUUCUCCUUACACCCUGGACCUUUCCAUUCACAGAUGUGAUGACAAUCCUGUGGACGGCCUAUUUCCCAGAGCCUGAAAACUCAAUAGUGUCAAAUUGAUUUUACUUUUCUCUCUCUGUGCAUGUGUGCUAAGUCACUUCAGUCAUGUCUGAGUGCAACCCCAUGGACUGGAGUCUACCAGGCUCCUCUGUCCAUGGGAUUUCCCAGGCAAGAAUACAGAAGUGUGUUACCGUGCCCUCCUCCAGGGGAUCUUCCCAACCUGGGGAUCGAACCUGUGUCUCUUGCAUCUCCUGCAUUGGCAGGCGGGUUCUUUACCACUAGCACCAUGUACCCACCCCUAAAUCCUUAUUCUAUUUCAAUGUUCUCUCAUUGACAUCCAUGCUCAAUGUCCAAGUGAGAAACCUAGACAUCUUUACUGAUCUGCCCAUCUGAUUAAGCCUCAAGGCUUCCUUUACAAUAGUUUUCAAAUUUGUUCAGUCUCUCCAGUCCAUCACCAUCCUUCAUCUUUGUCUAGACCAUCAUUGUUUCUUUUCUGGACUUCUGCAACAAACUCCUAUUUUAUUUUAUCUCUCUGUCUCUAGUCUUUAUCCUUGUCAUCCAUUCUCCAUCUAUUAGCCAGGACCAUUGCUCUAAAAUACCAAGUUUAUCUCACCAUUUUUCUAUUUGACAGCUUUCAGUGUUUCCCCUGCUUGUUUGGGGCAGAUGUUCCAAUGCCUCUGUAUGGCGCACAAAGAGCUUGGCCUGGGCUGUCAACCCUGGGUUUCUGUGUCUUGCACCUGAGAGCCCUGCAGCGCUGUUGGGCUUCUCUUAAUUCUGCCCUGGGCCCCGCUCUGUGUCUCAGCCUUCUCAUCUGUUGUCUCUUCCCAAACUUCUUUAACUCCUAGCCACCUUUCAAACAUCAGUAUACAGUGUACUUCUUAGAAUAUCCGUUCUCCCUUGUCCACUACAAAAUGACCAGUCCCAUAAAAGGGAUGUAUAAAAUGAAUGGAAUAUGUAUUUUUGAACAAAUUAUUGUAUUCUUUUUCUUGAGAUCAGCUAUGGAAUUAAUUCUGUGAGACUUUUCCUCAAAAAGUGGUCUUUUUCCCCACCAAUCUGUUCUCUUGUGAUGUGUCUUUGCAUAUCCCUGAGUUUACACAUUUAGAAAUAUACCUGAAUUCUCUUUUAAGCUUAUGCAAGAAUUUCUUCCAAAGAGAUGCUCUAUAUUCUAUCAGGACUGUAAGAAUCUUUUCCUGUUUCUAUUCCCAAAGCUCUGGUUGUAGAACACACAUGUGACUGAUCAGAACAGAGGUUUUUUUUCUUUUUUUUUUUUUUAACUUUUAUGUCACAUUGUCAUGGUCAGUGAUGAUGAUCUAUGCUAGCAGAUCCUCUAAGUUAUCCUUUUACUGGCCAUACAUGGUUUCUCCCUUCCACAUACAUUUUUGAGCUCCUACAAACAGAUUUUCAAUGGUCCCUCAACUCGGAGUUGUUCCUAAGCUAACUUCCUUUUUUUUUUUUUUAAGAAAGUUUCAAACAACCUGCAUUUUAGCAUCCUACAUUUGUUCUGGUUUUUGCAAUUCUAGACCCUUGUGCCAAAGAGAGAGCAAAUCCUCUAGCCCUUUGAUCUUCAGGAUCCUUCAGUUAUCUUCUUGGCCUCCUUCUGUUGUCACUUAGAGUAAGUAUAGUCGUCUUUGUCAAUGAAAGGUAAUCUCACUCUUCUUUUCAUUAUUCCUGGGCCCCUUGGCUGAAUGCCUUCUAGUCGUUGCCUUUCCUUCUCAUACCACACGGCCCGAAGCUGCAUGGCAGUCCAGGUGCCGUCUCCAUGGAACUAAAGGAUCAAAGCCAGGACCGAUGCCCUCUGGUUCAGGAGUUCCCAGCCCUUGUCUCUCCCUCAGAACGCAGCAUGACUCAGGACAGUGCUGUCACCACCAGCUCAGCCUGUUCACCUCAAAUUCCAUGGUCCUUCCCAGCUGGUAAAUUACUUUGAAACCUAAGUGCCAACUGUUGGUCACUCUCCUCUUGAGUUUUCUCUCCAUAGUCCCUCUUUACUUGAAAGCACUGUGUUCUCAAUGGUGAUUUUGAUCUUCAGGUUUGAACCUUUUGAUUUAAAAGCUACAGGUGGUUCUAGCUCUUUGCAACACCUUGAAAUUGGCUUAAGGAAAGCACAAUACCUUACUCCACCAUUUUACUUCUUGCAA